rnacentral:rRNA from 1 species
GAUGAACGCUGGCGGCGUGCUUAACACAUGCAAGUCGAACGGAAAGGCUCCUGCUUGCAGGGGUACUCGAGUGGCGAACGGGUGAGUAACACGUGUGUGAUCUGCCCUGCACUUCGUGAUAAGCCUGGGAAACUGGGUCUAAUACCGGAUGGGACCACAUCUUGGAUGGUGUGGUGGAAAGUUUUUCGGUGUGGGAUGAGCUCGCGGCCUAUCAGCUUGUUGGUGGGGUAAUGGCCUACCAAGGCGUCGACGGGUAGCCGGCCUGAGAGGGUGUACGGCCACAUUGGGACUGAGAUACGGACCAGACUCCUACGGGAGGCAGCAGUGGGGAAUAUUGCACAAUGGGCGCAAGCCUGAUGCAGCGACGCCGCGUGCGGGAUGACGGCCUUCGGGUUGUAAACUCAUUUCGCUAGGGACGAAGCGCAAGUGACGGGACCUGGAAAAGAAGCCCCGGCCAACUACGUG